UACGUAGGCAGCGAGCGUUGUUCGGAGUUACUGGGCGUAAAGAGUGCGUAGGCGGUUUUCUAAGUUUGGUGUGAAAUCUCCCGGCUCAACUGGGAGGGUGCGCCGAAGACUGGAAGGCUUGAGUAUGGGAGAGGUAAGCGGAAUUCCAGGUGUAGCGGUGAAAUGCGUAGAUAUCUGGAGGAACACCGGUGGCGAAGGCGGCAUCCUGGACCGACACUGACGCUGAGGAGCGAAAGCCAGGGGAGCAAACGGG
rnacentral:rRNA from 1 species